AGACCAUACUGAGGACAUUUCCUAAGCAAUUCCUUAAAUCUCUCUCAUGACUCAUAUAAGGAUUAAUUACCAAAUUAUGAAAAAGUUAUGUUAUUCCUUAAUUU